GACGUGAGUGCAAAGCGCGAGGCAGUAUAUCAAAAGUAACACAACCGGCGUGCAAUUUCGGAACAUCUCGAGUGGACGGUCUUUACCGAGAACUUUACUCUGGCCUCUUUUGAUCUUCUUUCGCACAGUUGCAAAUGAGACACUAAAGCGUAUACGCGCCCUAGGACCCAUAAUCUCCACGUAUAAUCGCGCGCGGUCGGUCUAUUAAAUAUCCCUGAAAGGAAGGAAGGAAGGAAGGAAGGAAGGAAGAAAGAGAUUGUGAGAAACGACGUAGGGAUCGCGUAACGGUUCUAUUGGCGUUAUUCCUACCGGGACAUCCUACGGGGACACACAGCCACCACCUCUCUCUAAAUCGUUCCACGUGUGACAAGAACCAUCACCAAGGACUCGAUGCAGUAGGGUAUCAUGCAACAUGGCCAACAGCUGCGACGAGAAAUGCAAGUCGGUGGGGGGUCUUGAACGAUGAUCUUGAACGACAAAACUCUCGAAGCAACCGAACGAAGCGACGAAAAGAUGCAAGACGCAAGAAUGAGAAUUGUGCGCGAUAAAAGAGUGCGCGUAACGAGACUGCGAUCGUAGUCGGCCUAAUUGCGCGUACUACAAUUGCAUGCGAUUUCACCUUCGUCACUUUCGCACAGACUUUCGGACGCGUAAACUUACCCAAACAG